CAUCAACAUGCUGUACAUUCACUGAGUCUGAGAGAGAAAAAUCAAGUGAAAUGUUGUCAAAGAGAAUUGUGGCAUGUUUGUAUCGGGGUAUUACACAGAGAGCUCAAAGUAAUGUCCCACUGUAUUGUUGCCAUAGAAACACAUGUGUGAGGUCAAUGUCAAGUAAUGUCAAGGCUGAGGAGGAUAUUACAAAUGGUACUCUAAAAAAUACAG